CCAGAAACAACAUACCUAUGUCUCGCUUUUUGACUUCGUCAAGGCGAGACAAAAACUGCAAACAGAUAUAUGUAUCAGAUAUAAGAAUGCGAGUUCUUAUUAUUGUGAUACUCAUUCAGUCGCAUUAUUCGCAUUAAUAAUAACCUCGCAAUAAUUUCUGAAUUUACAGUAAUAUGUAACUGUCAAAUCUGUAAAUAUUGGUCAUCCUAAGGAUGAAAAAGAGAGGCAGAAGAUAACAAAAGGAUAGUCAAACUCAUAAUCUUGACGAAAAACGAACUGACAAUGCCUGUCAUAGAGAUGUUAUUACUAACAGGAUAUCACAUCUUAAUUAUUAAAAUAGAAGCUGUUAAUUUAGAUACUAUCCAUGUGAACUUAACUCUCAUUUGAAUAAGCUUAUUCUUAAAGUCAAUAAAGGUUGUCAAUUUAGCACUGUAGAAAUAUCUUUGAAAUAUUGUUAUAUCAUUUUGUUUUUUAAUAAAUUAAAACAUAACUAUAGAUUUAUUUUUAUGCAUAUAUGAAAACUUAUGGUCCUGUUUAUACAAUGUACUUAUUCUUUGGCAUUCCAAAAGUCUUUAAAGGUCUUGCGUCAGUCCUGUUUAUACAAUAUACUUUGGUAUUACUUUGGCAUUCCAAAAGUCUUUAAAGGUCUUGCGUCAGUCCUGUUUAUACAAUGUAUUUCUACUUUGGGAUUCCAAAAGUCUUUAAAGGUCUUGCAUCAGUCCUGUUUAUACAAUGUACUUUGGCAUUACAAAAGUCUUUAAAGGUCUUGCAUCAGUCCUGUUUAUACAAUGUACUUUGGCAUUACAAAAGUCUUUAAAGGUCUUGCGUCAGUCCUGUUUAUACAAUGUAUUUUGGCAUUACAAAAGUCUUUAAAGGUCUUGCGUCAGUCCUGUUUAUACAAUGUACUUUGGCAUUUCAAAAGUCUUUAAAGGUCUUGUGUAAGUCCUGUUUAUACAAUGUACUUCUACUUUGGCAUUCCAAAAGCCUUUUAAGGUCUUGCGUCGGUCCUGUUUAUACAAUGUACUUUGGCAUUCCAAAAGUCUUUAAAGGUCUUGCGUCGGUCCUGUUUAUACAAUGUACUUCUACUUUGGCAUUCCAUAAGUCUUAAAUGGUCUUGCGUCAGUCCUAUUUAUACAAUGUACUUCUACUUUGGCAUUCCAUAAGUCUUUAAAGGUCUUGUGUCAGUCCUGUUUAUACAAUGUACUUCUACUUUGGCAUUUCAAAAGUCUUUAAAGGUCUUGCGUCGGUCCUGUUUAUACAAUGUACUUUGGCAUUUCAAAAGUCUUUAAAGGUCUUGUGUCAGUCCUGUUUAUACAAUGUACUUUUACUUUGGCAUUCCAUAAGUCUUUAAAGGUCUUGCGUCAGUCCUGUUUAUACAAUGGACUUUAGCAUUCCAAAAGUCUUUAAAGGUCUUGCGUCAGUCCUGUUUAUACAAUGUACUUCUAAUUUGGCAUUCCAAAAGUCUUUAAAUGUCUUGCCUCGGUCCUGUUUAUACAAUGUACCAUACUUUGGCAUUCCAAAAGUCUUUAAAGGUCUUGCGUCGGUCCUGUUUAUACAAUGUACUAUACUUUGGCAUUCCAAAAGUCUUUAAAGGUCUUGCGUCUUUCCUGUUUAUACAAUGUACUAUACUUUGGCAUUCCAAAAGUCUUUAAAGGUCUUGCGUUUCUCAGACUGUAAAUGACAUCUUAUACUUUAUCCGUUGGAUGUGUGCUGAUUGAUAAUUCAGUAUUGGAAAAAAUGAUUUAUUUGUUGUUUGUCUUUGGUUUUAAACUAGCUUUUAGCAACUGUGAGUACUCGAAGAUCAGUACUUUGUGUCUUUUGAUUUUUUGGUUUAUAGUUUUUUUGGGUUUCGUGCUGAUCUAAGGAGUCAAGCCCUUUCCAACUGAUUUUUUGUACAGUUUGUUCUUAUGUUGUGCUGUUGCACCAUUGUCUAAGGUUAGGGGGUGGGAUGAGCACUCAAAACAAGUUAAAUCCUGCCAAAUUCUUCGUGUGCCUGUCUAUGAUCAGUACUCAGUAGCCUCUUAUUCAGUUGUUGAUCCUUGCUGCCGUCAUAUUUGUUUUCUGUUUUACAUAAAUCGUGCUGUUUGAUUUCUUGUUUAAAUUGUUUCACAUUUCGUCAUUCAAGGGCCUUUUAUAGCUUACUAUACAGUAUUGGCAUUGUUGAAGGGUGCAAGGUGACCUAUAGUUCAUUACAUCUACCGGUAUGUCCUUGAGUCUCUGGGUGGAUAGUUGUCUCAUCGGUAAUCAUACCACUUCUUAUUAUAUUUUAUAUUACUAUUAAAUUCUA